CGUUGUUUACAAUGUAACAUUUUCAGAGCAAGCUAAAUAAAUUUAUAAGGUAUGGUAUAUAUAUUUACAAAAUAAUGGUUUAAUAUUACAAAAAAAGUUACAUAUAGUUUGAAAGAACAAAUGAAUAGAAAGAAAUGAAAACAACUUAUCAGUAACUAAUUAAUAAGUAAAGAUUAAUGUUAAGUGCAUGGUUAGUAUAGUUGUAUCUGCAUGUGGAUUUUAAAAACCUUUGAAACUCUUGAUGAAAGGUGUAAACACGCACGACUAGUAUGGCGGACUUAAAUAAAUGAUAAUGAACAUAGGAAGAUGUAGAAUUACGUCAAACUGAACAAAGAUUUGAAGAGGGUAAUUAUAUUUGGAUACAACCCUGUUAUUAUGCCACUAUUUAUGGAAUCACAAAUAUCCUGUG